GGGAUUGUCUAAAAAAAAAAUCUCUGGUCGACGGGAGCAGAGCGGCGGGGGCGGAGACGCCGCAUCUCCGGCGGGAGGAGGAGGGGGAGCAAAUGAUGGUGGCGCAACCUUCUUCCUCCUCCCGGCCUCACAUUUGGCAGCCAGUACGGGCUCAGGCGGCAGAUAUGGACGGGAGCAGGCCAAGACGCGCCGCCACGCCACGCCGACGGCUUAGCGGGCGAGGCCGUCCGUCCGUCCGGGUGGAGCGAGAGCUUCUCAAAGGAUAUUCCAAAUGAGUACCAAAUGACACGAGUCUACGGUGGAUCUCUCGACCUAUGGUGCUUAGGUCUCUCGAUUGGGUACAGAUACAAGCUAGGGUUUCAGCAAGAAAAGGGGAUCGGGAGAAGGAGCCGGGAGGUGGGAGAGAAGAUACACACCCAAAGACGGCCAUGUGCGCUUGUGGAACUUCACAUGCUUGUCCAUAUAAGUUAGUGCAUUGAUUCGUGCAGUGUUUGAGUCCACGACCAUGUCAAUUGCCGAUACAGAGCACUGCAUCGUGGGUGUCUGUCUACAUGGAUCUGUCCUUUGGCCAUCCAGUUGCGCUGUUUAUCAUAGCCCUAUAACUCUGCUGGUACCCUGCUGCGUGAUGAACCAGAAAUCGCUCCUAUCAUGAACCGAAUUGAGCAGUACAAUGGCCGUUUUGCUGGAGUUCCUCACAGUAUGAUUCAGUUAUCUCGACAUUCAUGUAUCGAGACUCCCGAGAACUUUGCCGAGAAGACCAACGUGGUGUGGGAGCCAUCCAAGGAUUUGAAGCACCUGAACUUGAAGUUGCUGGUGAUCUGGGGGUGCGAGGAUGAAGACAAGGUGACAAACUAUGUAAGGCUUGUCAUGGAACAAGCUGUGGGGCUGUUGAUAAUCAAGCUGCAGGGUGAAUUGCCAUGCAGGCACUGCAACGCCACCAACCUUGACAGAUCCAAGGCGGAGAAAGCUAGCCGGCACCGGAUUAAGGAGCGACUGGCGCAUGGAUCAUCCUCAUUUCUGGAGAUAAUUAUCUGAUAUGUCAAGGAAUGCUGGUAGUAUCAUAACGCUCACAGGCUUGCAGGAGCUAGAGCAAUGACUCUGCGAGGCACAUUCAGUAGUAAUUUUGAUUUCUAGUUAUUGAUAGCUUAAAAAUACUUGGUUGGUGUGGACCUUCCAGUCUAGCUAAAUUAUGUGUGUACUGUCAUCUGACCGCAUGCUUUUCUCUUUCAGUUUACGGAGUAAUUAAUUGCCUAUUUGUCCACCUAGCAUAUGCUGAUUUGUUUGCCCUGGGAUAUUCAAAUAUUUGACUUGUUUC